rnacentral:rRNA from 1 species
UACGUAGGGUGCAAGCGUUAAUCGGAAUUACUGGGCGUAAAGCGUGCGCAGGCGGCUUUGCAAGACAGAUGUGAAAUCCCCGGGCUCAACCUGGGAACUGCAUUUGUGACUGCAUGGCUGGAGUGCGGCAGAGGGGGAUGGAAUUCCGCGUGUAGCAGUGAAAUGCGUAGAUAUGCGGAGGAACACCGAUGGCGAAGGCAAUCCCCUGGGCCUGCACUGACGCUCAUGCACGAAAGCGUGGGGAGC